rnacentral:rRNA from 1 species
CACACCGCCCGUCGCUACUACCGAUUGAAUGGCUCAGUGAGGCCUUCGGACUGGCUCGGGGAGGUUGGCAACGACCACCCCGAGCCGGAAAGUUCGUCAAACUCGGUCAUUUAGAGGAAGUAAAAGUCGUAACAAGGUUUCCGUAGGUGAACCUGCGGAAGGAUCAUUA